CCACGUGCCUCAGCAGCGAUGGGGGAAUGAGGCUUCGCGCCCACCGGGAGACAGGGACUCACCCCCUGGUGGGGCUGUUCCUGUCCUUCCGAGCGCUAAGCGCUGGGGCAGACAAACAAACCUCGGGAGGCUGAAGACCUUUGUCUCGUCCUGGUUGCGCCUUCCCUAAGCUUAAUGGAAGAAGUGUUAUCCUAAUUAGUAGCAUAAUGCUUUCACUGAAUUGGACCUGUUCUCACUGCUAUUCACAUUUUAAUUUUAAAAUAAAGCCAAUGUAUCAGUAAAAUUGAAUAUUUUAUUAGAUCCUAAAUUAUUCAGCACGGCAGCUUCUCAAAAUCCAAUAACAUUCACGCAGUUGCAGUGAGCAUGCAAUGGCUUAUGCAAUAUGUCCUUGUACCUGCGGCUUAUGCCUAAAGUCUUUUAAGCACAAAGUCUAGACGUGCCGUAAAUACUUUGCAUUGGGCUUCUGUAGGACUGAGAUGUCUUCUCGUUUAAGUCUAUGAUCUUGCAGUGUUUUUUUGGUAACUUCAGAACAGAGAGAAUUGAUAGAUUUUCUAGAGACGAGAAAUAGGAAGAAAGAAUCCAUUUGUUCUGCUAUUGCUUAAGCUGUAAUUGUUCAGCUAAGGGUUUGUCCUUGGCUUUCAAAAUGGAACAGAAGAAAAUUAUAUAGUCUUUUUUUUUAAGCUGUAGCAGAAUUAAGUACUGCUUGACAAGUCUGACAUAGUGUGUUAAUUUUGCUCACUGUUAUAACUUUUAAUAGAUCUUUCCAUGUUAUGAUCACUUAAGCAUAGUAAGUAACAAACUCUUUGGAGAGCAGUUUUUGAACAGCACAAAACUUUUUGUGCAUCCUUUGGGUAUUACUUGGUGAUGAGUUCAUUUGGAUAAUGAAGCAUAAUGAAUAUAUCAUGAACACCUAUGGUAAAAUCAUCUGUGCUUUGGCCAGUUAUUCCCUGCUUUUUUUCGGGGGGUAAAUUCCAUCUGCAGAUCAGAGUUAGAUCGCAUAGUUCAUUGCUAACCAGUGUCUACUGUCAAAUGAAAAAUGCCAACUGUCUGUUUAGUAGAGCCCUGAAAAGUAAUUAAGAUGAUCAACUUCCUGUUGAUAUAUCACAUCUUAAAUACAUUUCUUGCUUUUGGUGUUUGCAACAUACACAUAGUGUUUCAGCAACUCAUUUUGAUAAAGAAGGGGAGACAGAACUGGGAGAGGGGCAGGUGAUGAGUCUUCCAGUGAAGACUGGAAUUUUCUUAUUUGUGACUGGUCUGAUGCAUUGGGAAUCUCAUGCACUGUAAAGGGAAUCUGUUCUUCAGAGAUGUGUUUAUAUGCAUGUAUACAGUAAAACAAGAUUUCAAGGGUGCAGUGACUUUACUCCUUGGUUUGCAAGAAAGAUGUCAGUGCAUUUUUUUAACAAGGGAUGUCCUUUUAUAUUCAUUUCUAAACAGCUGUGAAGAUUUACAUUUGCUUUGGUUGCUGUUCCUUAGUCAAAUCACAGCAAGAGCAAAUCCGAUGUUUCACCGUGCAGUGGACAGGCAGUCACUACAAGAGUGACUGCAGAGACUACAAGAGAUGAUUUCAGGUGGAAGAGAUUCAGUGCGCCUCAUCUACAGAAGUUCCUUUGUCCCAAAGGCACAUGGAAAGAGUGAAGCUAAACUGCCAGCAUUUCAUCAAGCUUCUUCUGGAGAUUUUAAUUUAGCUAUACUUUGGCCAGUCAUUCGAAGACUAUUAUGAAAAUGUUAGAAACAUUUAAAAAUAUUUGAGUGACAUCACUGAUAAAAAUAACAAUUCAGAGAAGUAUAAUUUAUUAUCUUUGUAAGAGAAAGUUCCUCUGUCAAGUAGUGAGGUCUCAGUGCUCUGGAAAGCAUGGUUUGGAUUUCUUACGCACCCAGUCAUCAACUUGCAUCCAGCAUUUAUUACUAAGAAAACAGAAAAAGUUAUAUCUGCAGUGUAGUCUUCAGUAUCGUCCAGGUUUGGGUGGGUGAGACUGGGGGAAGGCUUUUUAGAUAGCACCACGUGAAGGCAUAUUGUCACUGGCAAAAAUAUCCCUGAAAAGUCUAAGAGGAGCUGCAAAUUUGGAGUGACACAGCUCUGAAUCUGUUUCCUUGAGGAAUGUCAGACAUGUCAGAAUUUUAUCAAACGUGAAUCUCAGGAUGGAGGUGCAUUUCCAAGCAUCCAUUUUGAAUCUAGGAGUUCUGUUCAUAUUGCAGUAAUUUUUAAGUGGAUAUUUAUGACUUGCUGAUAGUAAAAGAAGAUUGGAUUUGCUUGAGCACACUCCUCAGUGAAUUAUUUAAGAAAUGUGUCAUUCUGAGAGCUAGACAAACUCAUAUGAAACUCACAAAGCAGUUGUUCAUCUUAGAAGCUUUUCAAGAGGACAGUGCUAACGAUUAAAACCUGUACAUCGGCUAGACUGUAUUUUCUUAUGGAGUUGGGGAAGUGGUGGUUACCAAAGGCAUUUUGUAAGGAGUUAGAAGGUUUCAGAUUUUAUCUGAAGACCUUUCCAGCCUCUUUCAGUCCUGUCCUAUCUCUUCUGUUGUCACACUUGCUCUUGCAAAUGGAUGGGCAGCAGACAGUGAUUGGUGCUGUGGAGCUUCUUCUGCUUUUCUAUAUGCAGCUAUGGUUUUCAGCCAAGAAAGAGGAGGGACAGCAACUUAUUUCCCUAGUGUAACUGAAGGGAAGCUUUUCCAAGUCUGUCCUUCCCCAAACAGAACUGUUGCCAGCAUUUUAAAAUAUUCUGCCAAAGAAAAACCAAAACCAACAUACAGUGCUUAUUAGGAAUUGCAUUUACACAUAUGUUAGAAAGCAUUUGAAGUUUUAUGAACCUAGGUAACAUGAAGCUGUGUAUACAUUUGAGGAAUAAUUACCUGCUUUAAGGCUGAAAAAUCAAGUUGAUGUAGAAUAUGAUUCAGCUGAGUAUCUGCUAAUUUAACUAAUCUAUGCAAGUGUGGAAAGCUCCUAGGGAUUAGUACCUUAGAAAUUUUUGGAAAAUGUAAAAUAGAGAAGUGAAUCCUAUUUUAUAUGCUCAAUGUAUGUAGCUAUGGGCAGUCACUGGUUCUUGUGAAUCAGAUACCUUGUGAAUUUUAAUUUAGGUACAUAACGAGUAUAGCUUUAUUUGAAAAGUUCAAGGUAUUUUAAAACUAACAGAAUUCAUAUUUCAAAAUGUGUAACACAGAUUCAUUUUAUAUACCAAUAUUUGUAUGUCGUCUAGGAAUUACUGGCAGAUGUAAAAACGAAUUUGCAUGCAAACAUUUAUUAUAAUGCAUUGCAGAACUUUUUUUAAAAAUACCUUUUUACAUUAAAAAAAAACACAAGAAAACAGUUUGUUAUCUAGUUAGGAUUAAAUGUUUUCUCUGUCUAUAAUCAUCUUGUAGAACUCUUACAAAGUUGUUACCCAAGAUUUAGUGAUGGAUUGAGUUGUAAUUUUUUCUGUGUACUCUUUACUUCUUUCUUGCUGUUCCUUCCCACUGCUCUCAGUGGAAUCUAGUCAAAAGUGACUUCCAGAAGAAGAGAAAUUGUCAAAUUUGGUUUACUCACAGAUAACACAUUUUGUUUCUUCUAAAGACCAAAAAAAUAAUAUGAAAUGCUUCAUUUGCCGUUAUAGAAGGCGGUUAACAUUAGGUAGUUCAAUUUAUUUCUCUAAAAACAGCAUUUCACUUUUUCUGUUUCAGUGGCAUUACAGAUUUAACAGUUCAAAUGCUAAGGUAGCUAAUGCUUCUUGGUAAGUUAUCACAGAAUUGUAGGGGUUGGAAGGGGCCACUGGAGAUCAUCUAGUCCAACCUGCUGCUAAAGCAGGUUGCUGCAGUUGGUUGCACAGAAAUGUGUCCAGGUUGGUUCUGAAUAUCUCCAAAGAAGGAGACUCCGCAGCCUCUCUGGGCAGCGUGUUCCAGAGCAAUGUCUCCCUCACAGUAAAUAAGUUCUUCCUUGCGUUCAAAUGGAACUUCCCGUGUUCCAGUUUUUGCCCUUUGUCCCUUGUCCUGUUGCUGGACACUGUUGAAGAGCACCUGACCCCAUUCCCUUGGCACUUGCCUUUUAGAUACUUGUGUGUUGAUAAGAUCCCCUCUCUGUCUUCUCUUCUCCAGGCUAAGCAGUCCCAGGUCCCUCAGCCUUUCCUUGUAAAGGAGGUGCUUCAGGCCCCUCAUCAUCUUUGUAGCCCUCCACUGGACUCUCUCUAGAAGUCCUCUGUCCUUCUUGAACUGGGGAGCCCAGAACUGGCCAUUGUACUCCAAAUGUUGUCUCACCAGGGCAUAGUAGAUGGGGACUGUCAUCUCCCUUGACCUACUAGCCAUGCUCUUUUUAAUGUACCCCUGGAUACCAUUGGCCUUCUUGGCCACAAGGGCACACUGCUGGCUCAUGGUCAAUAUAUAUUUCAGAUUUAGUAUUGAGAUCUUCAGUUACUUAACCUUUUGCUUCUUCAUCACUUUUGGAAACCAGAAAGCAUGUUAAACCCUAAAAAGUGGCAAUGUGGCAAUUAAUGUCUUGUACAAAAGAGGAUGUACCAGUUGCAUGUUCAGUAUUGCUGAUGUUGUGGUUGAACCUGGCUGGCAGCUUAGCACUACACAGCUGUUCUUUCAAUCCUCUGCCAUCCCAAGUGGGAUGGGGAAGAGAAUGGGGAAUGGGGGGAAAAAAAAAAGUAGAACUCACAGGUUGAGGUAAAAGCUAUUUA